rnacentral:rRNA from 1 species
GACGAACGCUGGCGGCGUGCCUAAUACAUGCAAGUUGAGCGCUGAAGGUUGGUACUUGUACCAACUGGAUGAGCAGCGAACGGGUGAGUAACGCGUGGGGAAUCUGCCUUUGAGCGGGGGACAACAUUUGGAAACGAAUGCUAAUACCGCAUAAAAACUUUAAACACAAGUUUUAAGUUUGAAAGAUGCAAUUGCAUCACUCAAAGAUGAUCCCGCGUUGUAUUAGCUAGUUGGUGAGGUAAAGGCUCACCAAGGCGAUGAUACAUAGCCGACCUGAGAGGGUGAUCGGCCACAUUGGGACUGGGACACGGCCCAAACCCCUACGGGAGGGAGCAGUAGGGAAACUUCGGCAAUGGACGAAAGUCUGAACGAGCAACGCCGCGUGAGGGAAGAAGGUUUUCGGAUCGUAAAACUCUGUUGGUAGGGAAGAACGUUGGUGGGAGUGGAAAGCUCAUCAAGUGACGGUAACUACCCAGAAAGGGACGGCUAACUACGUG